UUCCUUCCUUUGCUGGAAACCAGAAACACCUGAUGAUAAGGAAAACAAAUCUGACUCUAUGAGACCUGCAGGAAAAUCAGAGGGGAGAAAUGUGUGUUUUGCUGCCCUGGGAGACCAUCCAACAUUUGAGAAACCAAAGAAGAAGAAAACAGUCCACAGCUCAGACCGAAGCCUGUUUACUGCUGUCAUCUACGCCCAGAUGGUUGAGGAUUAUAAUCUGCUGUAAGGUUGUGAUGAUCCAUAGAGGCAGAUUGCUCUUAUGUACUCGUUACUCUCGGCUUUGGUU